CCACGUGGGCAACCUACCUUAUAGUUUGGGAUAACUCCGGGAAACCGGGGCUAAUACCGAAUAAUCUGUUUCACCUCAUGGUGAAACACUGAAAGACGGUUUCGGCUGUCGCUAUAGGAUGGGCCCGCGGCGCAUUAGCUAGUUGGUGAGGUAACGGCUCACCAAGGCGACGAUGCGUAGCCGACCUGAGAGGGUGAUCGGCCACACUGGGACUGAGACACGGCCCAGACUCCUACGGGAGGCAGCAGUAGGGAAUCUUCCACAAUGGGCGAAAGCCUGAUGGAGCAACGCCGCGUGAGUGAAGAAGGAUUUCGGUUCGUAAAACUCUGUUGUAAGGGAAGAACAAGUACAGUAGUAACUGGCUGUACCUUGACGGUACCUUAUUAGAAAGCCACGGCUAACUACGUGCCAGCAGCC
rnacentral:rRNA from 1 species